rnacentral:rRNA from 1 species
UACGUAGGGACCAAGCGUUGUUCGGAUUUACUGGGCGUAAAGGGCGCGUAGGCGGCAUGGCAAGUGGAUGGUGAAAUCCCUCGGCUUAACCGAGGAACUGCCGUCCAAACUGCUUCGCUUGAGACCGGGAGAGGUGAGUGGAAUUCCCAGUGUAGCGGUGAAAUGCGUAGAUAUUGGGAGGAACACCAGUGGCGAAGGCGGCUCACUGGACCGGUACUGACGCUGAUGCGCGAAAGCGUGGGGAGCAAACGGG